CCCUAUUACACAUAACCUUUUGAUAAAAAAAAAAUAUAAUAAUAAGAUAAAAAUGGUUUCCCGAUCAAGAGACAAGACCACCAACCCAAAAAUCACCACCACACAUCAUGAACCCACUAUUCCUCUGCAGCCGGGUGAACCUCAGCUCCACCAUCCACAUAAUCAUCACCGUUUAUUUGAUCAAGAACAAGAACUAAUCCCAUCGCAAAAGCCCCAUCAAAGCCAGGCUUUAGGCAGAGGGAGAAAACGUCCUUGCCAAGCACCACGUUCGUAGAGACAUCCACUUUGCGUCUGAUCUCAGCCACUGAUUCCUUCUGUGCAUUGAAGAUUGUACAACAUCUAUUGGCGAAGGACCCUUCUAUCUGGUACUCUUCCCCUGGAUUCCCAUACACUUCCACGGCCACGCUGCACCGUCGGAUUAUUGAUGAUCUCCUCACGCUGAAGAUCGGUUUCUGACGCUCUCUUCUUUCCCCUAGAUAGCCUUCCCACCGUUGAUGUAGACUCGGCCUCUUUUUUCUCACAGUGAGAAGACAGCGGCCGUGGGCGUCCAUGAGAACGACUUCACCGGUGUCGCGGGUAUCAGGGCCGUAGGAAUCAACUCGGAAGACUAAUUGGCCUUUGCAAUCGUAAACGGUGAAGCCAUCAUUAGCAAAGAACAGAGAGGUUUUAAGCACUGUUAGAUGCUUCUCCUCUUCGUAUAUAAAUCCACUAUCUACAACCAAUCCUCCCUUCAUUCUUUCUUCUGUUCUUCGAUUUGGACUCUUGAAACGAAACGAUUCCUAAACUCCG
rnacentral:misc_RNA from 1 species